UUUUGUAGUUUUCAAGCUGAGUCUGAAGCAGCUGAAAAAGAGAAUUUGCCUUGUUUUGAGAAGAUCACAAAGGAGUUAGAAGAUCCCAAGUUUUCUAAUGAACAGAAGUCUGAUGAAAUGAAACCUAUUUCUCGGUUAUCCUCUCCAAGAGCAAUUUCUCCAUGUUCUGUUGAGUCCCCAACCAUGAGGAAAAUCCAAGCUGAGUAAGUAACUCAUUAAUUUCUAUGUCACAUAAGUGCAAAACAUUAAUGAAGCUGACAUUGUAAGUGAGAUGAUACCAAAUGACAAUUGGAGCCAU